rnacentral:rRNA from 1 species
GAUGAACGCUGGCGGCGUGCCUAAUACAUGCAAGUCGAGCGAACGGACGAGAAGCUUGCUUCUCUGAUGUUAGCGGCGGACGGGUGAGUAACACGUGGAUAACCUACCUAUUAGACUGGGAUAACUUCGGGAAACCGGAGCUAAUACCGGAUGAUAUUUUGAACCGCAUGGUUCAAAAGUGAAAGACGGUCUUGCUGUCACUUAUAGAUGGAUCCGCGCUGCAUUAGCUAGUUGGUAAGGUAACGGCUUACCAAGGCAACGAUGCAUAGCCGACCUGAGAGGGUGAUCGGCCACACUGGAACUGAGACACGGUCCAGACUCCUACGGGAGGCAGCAGUAGGGAAUCUUCCGCAAUGGGCGAAAGCCUGACGGAGCAACGCCGCGUGAGUGAUGAAGGUCUUCGGAUCGUAAAACUCUGUUAUUAGGGAAGAACAUAUGUGUAAGUAACUGUGCACAUCUUGACGGUACCUAAUCAGAAAGCCACGGCUAACUACGUG